UUUAUUUAUCAGAGUCACCACUUGGGAUAAGUUUGGCUUUUGUGUCCCAAGUCAUCAAUUUAUCUUGGAUCCUAAAUCGAGGAAAUUUUUGACUUUUCAAGUGAAGUCUGCGAACCAUAUAUUCUGACGAAGGAAUUAUGUUGACCUGAGGGAAGGUAUUAGGCACCCCCGAAUCCCGUGGUUCUUGCAUGGUCACUUAAACCAUCAUAAUUGGGUCAUUAUCUGAUUUUAAAACAUGUCACUCUAUAAUGCAAUUUUAAAUUAUUUACCGUUAUUUAAUUAAUUUUAAGGAAGAUUGAACGUCGUUUGAAACGUGUUUUGGAUCAUGUCACAUGAAACGCACCUGGAUCCGAAACACAUUU
rnacentral:lncRNA from 1 species